rnacentral:rRNA from 1 species
UGCGGUUAAAAAGCUCGUAGUUGGAUCUCGGCAAGUAGAGGGCGGUAUGCUUCGUAGCAUUACUGCCCUAUUACUUGUAGUUUUGCCAGAGGUUCCUGGGUGCUCUUAAUCGAGUGUCUAGGGAUGCUGGCAGGUUUACUUUGAAAAAAUUAGAGUGCUCAAAGCAGGCUAUUACGCUUGAAUAUUCGUGCAUGGAAUAAUAGAAUAGGAAGUUGUUUCUAUUUUGUUGGUUUUCGGAAAUCGACUUAAUGAUUAAUAGGGACAGUCGGGGGCAUUUGUAUUCAAACGACAGAGGUGAAAUUCUUGGACCGUUUGAAGACAAACUACUGCGAAAGCAUUUGCCAAGAAUGUUUUCAUUAAUCAAGAACGAAAGUUAGAGGUUCGAAGGCGAUUAGAUACCGCCCUAGUUCUAACCAUAAACGAUGCCAGCUAGCGAUCUGAGGACGUUUUUUUUGUAGACUCCUCAGGAAGCUUCCGGGAAACCAAAGCGUGUGGGUUCCGGGGGAAGUAUGGUUGCCAAGCUGAAACUUAAAGGAAUUGACCG